GAUGAACGCUGGCGGCGUGCCUAAUACAUGCAAGCCGAGCGAACGGACGAGAAGCUUGCUUCUCUGAUGUUAGCGGCGGAAGGGUGAGUAACACGUGGAUAACCUACCUAUAAGACUGGGAUAACUUCGGGAAACCGGAGCUAAUACCGGAUAAUAUUUUGAACCGCAUGGUUCAAAAGUGAAAGACGGUCUUGCUGUCACUUAUAGAUGGAUCCGCGCUGCAUUAGCUAGUUGGUAAGGUAACGGCUUACCAAGGCAACGAUGCAUAGCCGACCUGAGAGGGUGAUCGGCCACACUGGAACUGAGACACGGUCCAGACUCCUACGGGAGGCAGCAGUAGGGAAUCUUCCGCAAUGGGCGAAAGCCUGACGGAGCAACGCCGCGUGAGUGAUGAAGGUCUUCGGAUCGUAAAACUCUGUUAUUAGGGAAGAACAUAUGUGUAAGUAACUGUGCACAUCUUGACGGUACCUAAUCAGAAAGCCACGGCUAACUACGUG
rnacentral:rRNA from 1 species